GGUAAGGUUUCACUACAUAACCUUCAUUAGAUACCCUAACCAGUUAGUAGUCACUAUGUUUUAGAGGCAAGUGUGCAUAGGCAAACUCCUCCAAGAGGCACAAGUGCUCAUAACAUUGCAUACACCAAGUCAGGAAUAAAGGGGAGACAUCCCUAUCGCCUGCAUAGUUGCAUCGACAACCCCAUCAUUAACCUCAGUGAGGGAUCUAACCAAAGAUUGCUAAUCAGGCAGGUGUUCAUGUGGCUUGAGUUCUCAUCAAAGGAACUCGCUUUAUGGUGUCAUCAUAAUUGGUGGAACAGAGCUCAUGGUUUCAACACUCUUGGUGCUUUACGCUUCACAAGAAAGUACAAGAAGCAAGCAGAGCUUAUAGAGAACUUCAUGGAAGGGUUCCCAUCAUCAAGGUGA
rnacentral:lncRNA from 7 species